CAGCCUCCGCGGUAAUACGAAGGGGGCUAGCGUUGUUCGGAUUUACUGGGCGUAAAGCGCACGUAGGCGGAUCGAUCAGUCAGGGGUGAAAUCCCAGAGCUCAACUCUGGAACUGCCUUUGAUACUGUCGAUCUGGAGUAUGGAAGAGGUGAGUGGAAUUCCGAGUGUAGAGGUGAAAUUCGUAGAUAUUCGGAGGAACACCAGUGGCGAAGGCGGCUCACUGGUCCAUUACUGACGCUGAGGUGCGAAAGCGUGGGGAGCAAACAGGAUUAGAGACCCCAGUAGUCCCUGUCUCUUAUAA
rnacentral:rRNA from 1 species